rnacentral:rRNA from 1 species
AUUGAACGCUGGCGGAAUGCUUUACACAUGCAAGUCGAACGGCAGCACGGGAGCAACCCGGGUGGCGAGUGGCGAACGGGCGAGUAAUACAUCGGAACGUGCCCGGCCGUGGGGGAUAACGUAGCGACAGUUACGCUAAUACCGCAAACGCUCUGAGGAUGAAAGCGGGGAACCUUCGGGCCUCGCGCGAUCGGAGCGGCCGAUGUCAGAUUAGGUAGUUGGUGGGGUAAAGGCCUACCAAGCCGACGAUCUGUAGCUGGUCUGAGAGGACGACCAGCCACACUGGGACUGAGACACGGCCCAGACUCCUACGGGAGGCAGCAGUGGGGAAUUUUGGACAAUGGGCGCAAGCCUGAUCCAGCCAUUCCGCGUGCAGGACGAAGGCCUUCGGGUUGUAAACUGCUUUUGUAUGGAACGAAAAGGCUCUGGCUAAUACCUGGGGCUCAUGACGGUACCGUAAGAAUAAGCACCGGCUAACUACGUG